GACGAACGCUGGCGGCGUGCUUAACACAUGCAAGUCGAACGGAAAGGCCCUGCUUUUGUGGGGUGCUCGAGUGGCGAACGGGUGAGUAACACGUGAGUAACCUGCCCUUGACUUUGGGAUAACUUCAGGAAACUGGGGCUAAUACCGGAUAGGAGCUCCUGCUGCAUGGUGGGGGUUGGAAAGUUUCGGCGGUUGGGGAUGGACUCGCGGCUUAUCAGCUUGUUGGUGGGGUAGUGGCUUACCAAGGCUUUGACGGGUAGCCGGCCUGAGAGGGUGACCGGCAAAAUGGGGACUGGGAAAGGGCCAAGACCCCAACGGAAGGAAGCAGUGGGGAUAUUGCACAAUGGGCGGAAGCCUGAUGCAGCAACGCCGCGUGCGGGAUGACGGCCUUCGGGUUGUAAACCGCUUUCGCCUGUGACGAAGCGUGAGUGACGGUAAUGGGUAAAGAAGCACCGGCUAACUACGUG
rnacentral:rRNA from 1 species